CCUACGGGAGGCAGCAGUGAGGAAUAUUGGUCAAUGGGCGGAAGCCUGAACCAGCCAAGUCGCGUGAGGGAUUAAGGCCCUGCGGGUCGUAAACCUCUUUUGCCGGGGAGCAGUGGUCCGGACGCGUCCGGACCGGGAGAGUACCCGGAGAAAAAGCAUCGGCUAACUCCGUGCCAGCAGCCGCGGUAAUACGGCGGAUGCGAUCGUUAUCCGGAUUUAUUGGGUUUAAAGGGAGCGUAGAUGGGUUGUUAAGUCAGUUGUGAAAGUUUGCGGCUCAACCGUAAAAUUGCAAUUGAUACUGGUAGCCUAGAGUACAGUUGAGGUAGGCGGAAUUCGUGGUGUAGCGGUGAAAUACUUAGAUAUCACGAAGAACUCCGAUUGCGAAGGCAGCUUACUAAACUGCCACUGACAUUGAUGCUCGAAAGUGUGGGUAUCAAACAGGAUUAGAUACCCUUGUAGUC
rnacentral:rRNA from 1 species